UUAAGGAAAAGUAGGGUAAGAUGUGAAUAAGGGUUCAUUCUCCAGUUCACACAUUCACGAUCUCCCUUUCCCACAGCACAACCUUCACACACGAACUUGCAACCACCGACUCUGACCUCCACCUCCGUAUCAUCUCCUCUAUCCUUUCUGUACCAUCCAGCAGACAGUCCCAUAUCAAGUAUUUUAGGUAUUGUAGGUGCUGGUAAACCCUAAGCGUUACAGUUUUUGGACCUCUGUUCGUUGCUGCUCUUAUAUUGGGAAUAACGAUAUUACAAAGAGACAAGUGGGAUUCCUCACCAGGUUUCUGUUUUAUAUGUUUGUGUUUGUGAGUCUUUAUACUUUUGGAAUGGAUUUUGGAUCGAUGUUUAGUUGUUGAAUUAGAUCAGCAUCACCCUAUAGUCUAGAUUUUAUUUUUUGGCUUCACGAAGUCCUGAUGUGUUUGAUUCUUGGUUUAUUAGCUUUUUCAAAUUAUAAUUUUGGGAUUAGUUUAAUUGGAUGGCCAUGACCUAUAAGGGGUGAUUGAAUUGGUUCACUUCUGCCAAUGCACUUUUAUGUUCAUAAUGGUUUCCUUGGUCAUUGAAAUCGAGAGCCGGAGUCACCGUGAAUGAAUUCAAGAGCCAAAUAAGUCCAGAAAAACUUCUCUCUUUCAAGUGGAAAGGUAUGUGUGGCUUACCUGUUGAUAACAAGUCUUGAUUCUCUUGGUAUAGAAUAGGAAUAGUUGUAAGAGAUGCAUCAGUAUAUCUUGUUAUUUAGUAUGUCAUCAAGAUCGACUUAUUUGUUCUUCAAAAUAUAUUAUGAAGCUAAUGUCCACUUACAUUCUCUUAGCUUCUCUUGUGUUCUAUGCUUUUUUGUAAUGGUUUAGGAGUUGUGUGAUGGUAUUGGAGGAGUAGCUACUAUUUAGUUUGAAAGUAUACUUGAUGAUAAGAUCCCUUAAGGUUAACCCUGCGAUGUGGUAUUUCUCAAGUAUAAAUAAUGUAUCUUGCUAAUAUAUUAUUUCAUUUGUAACCUUCUGUGUAGUAUUUUUAUCUAUAUCUACUUAAAAUGUUGUGAACUCCUUUAUGCUUUUAACUUGUUAUAGACUGGUGGUAGUGUGGUUUCAAAUAGACAACUAUAGGGUGGCCUUGAAGUUUCUAGGGUCUUUGGCGAAAGCCAAUUUAAAGAGAUUAUUUUCUCUUCUUUUAGAUGCCUUUGCCUUUGCUAUUGGCAAUAAACCUUAUUCAUAACAUUAGUGCAAGAGAAAAUGAAACAUUUUUGCCUUGAGGUUUGCAACGCAUAUUUGCCUCUUUUGAGCAUGUCUUGUCUAUUGAAACUUAUUCGUGUGCAUUUUCACUUAGUAUUAUAUUUGAGUUCUUGGUGUUCAUUAGGUUCUCAAUCCUGUCAUUCACCAUGCUACAGAGCGUGCCAACAUAUCUAAUUUUAUGGUGUUCUUUAUGUAUUCAGACUUCAAGAACUUAGACUUGUCAGUGCUUCAAGAUUGCCGAAGUGGAGAUUAUAUGCCUGCAUACACUAGUCUGUUUUUGUGACUUGAGAUAAGCAACAUUCUUGUUCUUUUUUUCCAUUUGAGUUGGUACUGUCAGUCCAAGUUGUCAAUUUAUGUUACUGUUGCAAUUUUCAAGGCUUAGUAUGAUCUGUUGCUUUUCUUUCUCUUUUACCUUUGGGUUCAGAUUACUGAACAUCAGUUGCUAAAAUAUUUUAUUGACAUCAUUUCAAUAUUAUUCUUAUUUUGUAACUGCUUAUUUCACUCCAUUGGUUGCUCAACUAAUUUGAGCCCAUAUGAUCUUUUAGGGGAAUGAUAUCUCUCUUGCGUUAAUCUCUGAUACAAGGCUUUUCAAGCUUCGAUUAGAACGAAAGAUUAGUCUCUUAAAUGAAGAACUAAAUGAACUGUAAUCAAAAGUGGUAAAUUAUUCAGACCAUAUUUAUGUCCAAAUAAUUGUGUGUCGAAUAGCUCUGUUACUUGGUUUUUGAUACGUUCUUGUAACUUACCGCUAGCACCUAUACUUGGUCCACCUAAUUUUUUGCAUUCCAAAUGUUUAUGUUGAUGAGAUAGCUUGAAGUUCCUGUCCCUAUGCAGGUAGAUAUCUUGACAAAUGAGGUUGAGAUCGACGUAAUGAAGAGCAGAAUCAUUCACUGUUUGGGCGAUGGUGAUAUGCGUCGGGAACUCGGGAUACAGAUGAGGAAGAACAUGAAGAUGAGAACGUAGAUUAUGUAUUAGGAGCUGUUGUUUUUCUAUAUGCCACCUUAGUAUCAUUUUAGUCUUUGUUAAAGAAUACUUUGAAGCUGGAUAAGAGUUGAUUAAUGCUACAUUGUUAUUCUUUUAUUGGAAUUAAAGUGAGUGUUUCAAUCUGACUAUUA